UUGAUUGAGAGUUUGAUCCUGGCUCAGGACGAACGCUGGCGGCGCGCCUAAUGCAUGCAAGUCGAACGAGCGGACCCCUUCGGGGGCGAGCUAGUGGCAGACGGCUGAGUAACGCGUAAGCAACCUACCCACUGGCGGGGGACAACCCGGAGAAAUCCGAGCUAAUACCGCAUGUGGUUGCCUGCCGAUAGCGGGUAACCAAAGGCUUCGGCCACCAGUGGAUGGGCUUGCGUCCCAUCAGGUAGUUGGUGAGGUAACGGCCCACCAAGCCAUCGACGGGUAGCCGGUGUGAGAGCACGACCGGCCAGAGGGGGACUGAGACACGGCCCCCACUCCUACGGGAGGCAGCAGCAGGGAA
rnacentral:rRNA from 1 species